GGAGAGAUGUCCGAGUGGUUUAAGGAGCCAGUCUUGAAAACUGGUGAUGGGGCAACCCACCGUGGGUUCGAAUCCCACUCUCUCCGCCA
rnacentral:tRNA from 1 species